GCCUGACUCCUGACAGAAUCUGGGCAUCCUGCCUUUGGACCCGUCAAUGCUUUCCAUUUCUGGCCAGGACAGUUGCUGCAAUGGAGAUUUACUAGAGUACCAGAGAGAUGAGCAAAGAACAUUGAAAUGGGAGGAAGAAGCCACGCCAGAAGAACAAAGGUGCAUUCCAUGAAAAUCUACUGGAAACAAGCAAUUGGACCAUGUCCCACUCGAGGCCCAGAAGUAUCCAGAAAGUCGUGAAGGAGAUUGGUUAACCAUCUAAGUGGAAGAGAGUAGAGUCAUUGGUGACCAAUUUAUCCUGUCUGUUCAUAAAAAUCUUGGUCCAGAUCAGAUCCCACCUUCUUUUCAUCAUUAAAGAAAAUGUAUAUUUCAUAUCUAACUGAAAAUAAAUUUGGAGCUGAAAAUAGCUUAAUGUAUAUACCUUGAAAAGGGAAAAUGCUUGCUAAAUAAAAUUGAUC